ensembl:antisense Gm11772 predicted gene 11772
GACUGGCGUCCCGGAGCUCCGGGCGCCCCUCGACCGCCACCGGCAUCACCUGGGCCGCUACGCCGCAGUGCCUGGCCUGCUGUCCCCGAGCCCGGAGCUUCCCGUCUGCUCCCGGGCGAAAUCGGAGACAAUUUCAACUCUGAGAGGAGCAACCCAGCAAGCGAAAUAAACUGUACACCACCAUGCACGUGCGACCAAAAUCUCUCGGCCCUCCUCCAUUUCGAAUACUUCUCUCCUUAUUUCCGAAAUACGCAUUGUUUUAAUACUUCAUCUCAGUUCCAAUAGAAUGGAGAUAUUCUUAACUGUGAACUUUGCAGACAAUCAAAACCUUUUUUAAAGCCAUUCCACCGUGACAACAAAGCGAUUAAGAUGUUUUCUAUUUCGUAAAUACCAUUUAAAAUUGCUAUAUUUUAUGCUCUGGGUUCUACACUGUCUUAUUUGCACACUAUUUUGUGUCUGAUUUAAUCUAUAACCGAAAACAUAAUGUAUUAAGUGAAUACAUAUUUGCUCAGCUGAUAAGCUUUUUUUAAUA